CCCUUAGAUGUUCUGGGCCGCACGCGCGCUACACUGAUGCAUUCAACAAGCCUAGCCUUGACCGAGAGGUCCGGGUAAUCUUUGAAACUGCAUCGUGAUGGGGCUAGAUUAUUGCAAUUAUUAAUCUUCAACGAGGAAUGCCUAGUAAGCGUGAUUCAUCAAAUCGCGUUGAUUACGUCCCUGCCCUUUGUACACACCGCCCGUCGCUCCUACCGAUUGAAUGUGUUGGUGAGGAGCUCGGAUUGGCAGCAGUUGGUGGUUCGCCACCGGCUAUUGCUGAGAAGUCCUCCAAACCGCCCCAUUUAGAGGAAGGAGAAGUCGUAACAA
rnacentral:rRNA from 1 species